GUUAAUGUUUGAUUCAUUUGUUGUGGUAUUUAGUUAACUGUUUGGUUCAAUUCUACAAUGCGAUGUUCAAUUUUUUUGAAAAAAAACACCCACUUUAUUAAUUGGAAAUAAUGGUUACAUCUUUUGUAAGAAGACGUACAAUAUUCUCCAUAGGCUCUCAAACCAAUCUCUAGUUACAGAAAUUUUUGCUACCCUAGCAAGUUCAUGACCAACUUUAUUAGCCACCUUAUUACAAUGUUCAAAUCUAAUCAAAGGAAAAUCACAUGCCAUGAAGUAGCAAUCGUCGAAGAUUGCCACCGCCGCUCCCGCAGAUUGUCCUCUAUUCUUCAUUCUGUAAUGUGAUGUUCAAUUGUUGUGGGUACAAUUUUGUAUUGUUACGCAUGUGAGGAAUAGAUAGAAUUUUGUUGUACUAAAUACAUGAGAAGCGUAUACAAUUGCUAUAUUUCCUAGUUCUUAAGCAGACUUGGUUUGGAUAAAUGUCUUUUCCAUGUGGCUCGAAUUAAUCCGCUGAAUUUGCAAUGUGUUUAUUUUUUAUCAACAUAUUUUACUUAUAGUAUGCCAACACUCACUUAAUCUGAUCAAUAACUACCUUAUAUGUGUUGCAAGGAAACAAUGGAAGGCAGAUGUUUACCAUUGAGGUUUGCACAGGGAUGUUCCUUUGUCUAAUAGCAUAUUAUUGUGCAAUUGCAGGAACCAUUUUAAUAUUUAAGUUUUUAACAAUUUGGUCUUGCACAUGUAGGUCAUGAUGUCAGAGCUUUUGACCCAUUGUUCAACCCAUUUUGUAUAUGGAAAAAUGAGAUGUCCAUGAAUAUAAGUCGAUUCACGAAACUCAGAAAGAUUGUUAGGAUAAGAAAACUAGCAAUGAAAAACAAUAAGAACUUUGUCUUCACAAUGAAGAAGAUAUCAGUGAACUAUAUGAUGGCCUUUCCAAAGCAGUACAACCGCCCAGAAAGAGCGGUGCAACCGCCCCAACUACCGAUCCGCCUGGGCUCGUUUCGGAUAUCUAAGCGGAACAAGCUCUUCCGCGCCAUUUUUAUUUAUUUCUGUAAACCAAUCCGAUCUUUUUUCUUUUGUUGUGUGUCGUCAAUGGACAGAACAUGCAUGCGCCUUAUCGUGUAUCGUUGAAGUCAUGGAAUAGAUGGGGUUUUAACAUUUU